UUUCCUUUUUACAUGGAUUGUGCGUAAAUUAAUAUUAUGCAAUUAAGUUCGGGAUUUCGGGAUUAACCCUUUCGGGAUCUGGGAAUUCUUUUUUUCGCGAUGUCGGGAUUUUAAAUUUAUUUAAAUUCGGGACCUUGGGACUUCGUGUUUAAAAGCCCGGGAUUUCGAGAUCCGGACCCCUUUUACCCCCUACCCCCAAAUGCAGAUUAAUUAUAUUAAUUUAGCAUAAUGAACAAACACGGAAAUCUUAAAAUAAACUUAUGCCCG
rnacentral:lncRNA from 1 species